rnacentral:sRNA from 1 species
GGUGCGGACGCAUGCGUAGUGGGCUUCUCGGGCGGUGGGGUGGGCGCGGAAUUUGGCGACCCACUUCGGGAAAGUCAGGAUGGUGGUGCCUUCGCUGAAGCUUCAGGACCUCAUCGAAGAGAUUCGCGGGGCCAAGACUCAGGCCCAGGAGCGGGAGGUGAUCCAAAAGGAGUGUGCCCACAUCCGGGCCUCCUUCCGCGACGGGGACCCAGUGCACAGGCACCGGCAGCUGGCCAAACUGCUCUACGUCCACAUGUUGGGCUACCCCGCCCACUUUGGACAGAUGGAGUGCCUGAAACUGAUCGCCUCCUCCAGAUUCACAGACAAGAGGGUGGGCUACCUGGGGGCCAUGCUUCUAUUGGAUGAGAGGCACGAUGCCCACCUGCUCAUUACCAACAGCAUCAAGAAUGACCUGAGCCAGGGGAUUCAGCCAGUACAAGGCCUGGCCUUGUGCACUUUGAGCACCAUGGGCUCUGCUGAGAUGUGCCGAGACCUGGCCCCAGAAGUGGAGAAACUGCUCCUGCAGCCCAGUCCCUACGUGCGCAAGAAGGCUAUUCUGACUGCAGUGCACAUGAUCCGGAAGGUCCCUGAACUCUCCAGUGUCUUCCUCCCACCCUGUGCUCAACUGCUUCAUGAGCGUCACCAUGGCAUCCUGCUGGGCACCAUCACGCUGAUCACGGAGCUCUGCGAACGAAGCCCUGCAGCCCUCAGGCACUUCCGAAAGGUGG